UUCGUUCUUCCUCGGAGGACUCCGCCUCCUCUUUUACCAUCGGAAGUCGGCUCCCCUUCGCGGAUCCCGAGUUGCUGUUGUAGUAGCUUGUAAAAGAUCCACAAGAUCAGCUAGUACCUCACAGUAGCUGCGCCUCAGGCAAAACGGCUAACCUUUAGUGAGAAAGCGCUGGGCUUCUCACUCAAGCGCCACAGACUCGCUGAGAGAGGCCUUGGUCAAAGCGAGUUUCUUCUGCAAUGCAAAUUGCAUCAGGCUAAUCUUUGAACAUUUGCUGGAUAGUCUGGAUACAUCCUUCAAAAAGAGAAUCCAAGCAUAGGUGCAAGGAAGCUUUUCCUUAGUGAUCCCCCUUCAUUCUGAAAGUUAAUAUUACCCGAUGCAAAUUUUCACAUACCCUGAAAAUGAAGGUGUUGAGAGAACCAAGAAAAUUUGGCUAAACGCUUACCUUUAUCAUCAGCUUUAUAUCUUUCACUGUAUGCUCUGAUGAAAUGUCAAAAGAUUCACAUAGUCCUUCAAAAGCUACAAAAAUCCUCAUUGUGAAAAAUGUGAAAAAUUUAUUGGGCGUCUUCCCACUCUGUCAAACCACAUGGCAUACAAAUCCUAUAUCCAUAUCUGAGGUCAAGAAAAACUGAUCCAGUGGAGAUGGUAAAUAUCCAACUGCAAUGUGUACAUGUAUUUUCUUCAAAGCAACCAGAAAGAGUCCAGCUCUAGAAGGCAGCAGAGAGUCUGCGAAACAAUGAGCUGAAUUUAUUUCCCAAGCUGAGUUGAAUAGCAAGAAUGUUCCCCUCUCCAAACCACAAGGCUAAUUAAACUAGCAAACCACGUAUUGAUCAAGGCAAGUGUGAACAAGCUUUCAGCAUGAACAUGCAUGUUCCAACCUAUCAUGCUCAACAGGCACUUAUCAAACUACUAAAUAAAUGAGUAUGAGUGUUUAUUUUAUUGCUUAUGGCAGUCUUACUUUCUGUAAAUAAAUCUCAUC